AUAAUUAUAUUCUUACUUUAUUUAUUUAUUUUAUUAUGAGAAAUAUCUUUAUAUUUAGUAUACUAAAGAAAAAUGAAUAUUGUUAUAGUAUAAUAGUACUGUGAAGGAAUUGAUGAAAUAAUUUAAAUACUUAAUUUUGAAUAAGUAUGUUUUAAUUACAGUACCUUUUGUAUCAGGGUUAAUCAAUUAAAUUAAUUUAUAUUUUUUUCUCGAUUUCAAAAGAGCUAAUUUAUUAUUUUAGUUAAUGUAUCAUAAUUAUUAAAAAUAUAAAUUAGGGAAGAAAUUUCAUUCGGUUUUGAGGGUAUCUAGUUUUUUAAGAAUUAAAUUUAAUUUAGCUUUGUCAAUUAAUUAUUAUAUUAUGUUAUAUAUUAUUUGUCAAAAUAAAAAUUAUAGGGGAUAAGCUCUAUAUUUUUCUAUAAAAUUUAAUCUAAUUAAUUUUUGUAGGGUUAAAAUUAUCCAUCAUUAAUAAGUGUGUUAUAAUUUAUUUUUACAUUAUUGGAUUUAAUGUUUUUUAGUAUAUUAUUAAAAUACUAAAAUGAACUUUAUAUUUUAGGAAAUAAUGGUUAAAUUAGUAUAAAAAUUUGUAUAUGUAAUUUGAAUAUACAUGAUAAAAUAAGGAACUCGGCAAAAUUAAUUCUCGCCUGUUUAACAAAAACAUGUCCUUUUGAUUUUAAUUUAAGGUCUGACCUGCCCAGUGAUGAAUUUAACGGCCGCGGUAUACUGACCGUGCAAAGGUAGCAUAAUCAUUAGUCUUUUAAUAGAGGGCUGGAAUGAAAGGUUUAACGAGGGAUUGACUGUCUCAUUUUAUUUGUUUUAAAAUUUAAUUUUUUAGUCAAAAAGCUAAAAUAGAAUUGGUAGACGAGAAGACCCUAUAGAUCUUCAUAUGUAUUAGGUUAACCAUUCUUAUAUCAGUAUGUAUAAUUUAAUAUGUAUUUUGUUGGGGUGACGAAAAUAUAUAAUUAACUUUUUUAUUUACUUAACAUUGAUUUAUGAAUAUUAGAUCCAUUAUUAUUGAUUGCUAGACUAAGUUACCUUAGGGAUAACAGCGUAAUCCUCUUCCAGAGUUCAUAUUUACGAGGGGGCUUGCGACCUCGAUGUUGGAUUAAGAUAAUAGUUAGGUGUAGCCGCUUAACAUAUAGGUCUGUUCGACCUUUAAACUCU
rnacentral:rRNA from 1 species